rnacentral:tRNA from 1 species
UGGGCCGUCGUAUAAUGGCAGUACAGCGGGUUUUGGUCCCGUUAGUGGGGGUUCGACUCCUCCCGGCCCAG